ACCGUUCGAACAGGGCGGUACCUUGACGGUACCUAACCAGAAAGCCACGGCUAACUACGUGCCAGCAGCCGCGGUAAUACGUAGGUGGCAAGCGUUGUCCGGAAUUAUUGGGCGUAAAGCGCGCGCAGGCGGUUUCUUAAGUCUGAUGUGAAAGCCCCCGGCUCAACCGGGGAGGGUCAUUGGAAACUGGGGAACUUGAGUGCAGAAGAGGAGAGUGGAAUUCCACGUGUAGCGGUGAAAUGCGUAGAGAUGUGGAGGAACACCAGUGGCGAAGGCGACUCUCUGGUCUGUAACUGACGCUGAGGCGCGAAAGCGUGGGGAGCGAACAGGAUUAGAUACCCUGGUAGUCCACGCCGUAAACGAUGAGUGCUAAGUGUUAGAGGGUUUCCGCCCUUUAGUGCUGCAGCAAACGCAUUAAGCACUCCGCCUGGGGAGUACGGUCGC
rnacentral:rRNA from 1 species